GUGGGGAAUCUUCCGCAAUGGACGAAGGUCUGACGGAGCAACGCCGCGUGAGUGAUGAAGGUCUUCGGAUUGUAAAGCUCUGUUAAUCGGGACGAAAGAGCCUAGUGUGAAUAAUGCUAGGAAGUGACGGUACCGGAAUAGAAAGCCACGGCUAACUACGUGCCAGCAGCCGCGGUAAUACGUAGGUGGCAAGCGUUGUCCGGAAUUAUUGGGCGUAAAGCGCGCGCAGGCGGAUCUGCCAGUCUGUCUUAAAAGUUCGGGGCUUAACCCCGUGAUGGGAUGGAAACUACAGAUCUAGAGUAUCGGAGAGGAAAGUGGAAUUCCUAGUGUAGCGGUGAAAUGCGUAGAUAUUAGGAAGAACACCAGUGGCGAAGGCGACUUUCUGGACGAAAACUGACGCUGAGGCGCGAAAGCCAGGGGAGCGAACGGGAUUAGAUACCCUGGUAGUCC
rnacentral:rRNA from 1 species